GCCGUCGUUGCACAAUGGUAGUGCGUUGCUUUCCUAUCACUACUCCUUCGUCAGGAUGGCUAAUGGGGAGCGAAAAGUAGGCAGAGGCUGCGGGUUCGAUCCCCGUCGUCGGUU